GAUGAACGCUGGCGGCGUGCUUAACACAUGCAAGUCGAACGGAAAGGCUCCUGCUUGCAGGGGUACUCGAGUGGCGAACGGGUGAGUAACACGUGGGUGAUCUGCCCUGCACUUCGGGAUAAGCCUGGGAAACUGGGUCUAAUACCGGAUAGGACGAUGGUUUGGAUGCCAUUGUGGAAAGUUUUUCGGUGUGGGAUGAGCUCGCGGCCUAUCAGCUUGUUGGUGGGGUAAUGGCCUACCAAGGCGUCGACGGGUAGCCGGCCUGAGAGGGUGUACGGCCACAUUGGGCCUGAGAUACGGCCCAGACUCCUACGGGAGGCAGCAGUGGGGAAUAUUGCACAAUGGGCGCAAGCCUGAUGCAGCGACGCCGCGUGGGGGAUGACGGCCUUCGGGUUGUAAACUCCUUUCGCUAGGAACGAAGCGCAAGUGACGGUACCUGGAGAAGAAGCACCGGCUAACUACGUG
rnacentral:rRNA from 1 species